GGUCUUAAAGAGCUUUCCAGUCAGGUCCUGGAGUUUUCCCUUCUGGUCCUUUGGCUUAGCAGAGAUGACAGUCUUAAGGUCAUAGCGAAGGUAUUCUGCUCUGAGACGAAGGUCAUUCUGAACAUAAGGCCAGGCCUUUUUGUCGAUGAAAUCCUUGACACCAACAAUCUCCUUGGCUGAAUCCUUAACUCUUUGGACUGCCUCAGCUGGAGUCAAUGGUUGAAUGUAAAACCUAUUCUUCAAUGGCAAACUAAAAUCCCUUGGCUCAUCUGAGUUCAAAGUACCAGCUGCCAAAACCAAAUACUCGGCAUGAGUA
rnacentral:lncRNA from 1 species